GACAGAGGUGGCAAGCGUUGUUCGGAUUCAUUGGGUGUAAAGGGUCCGUAGGUGGCCCGUUAAGUCCGGCGUGAAAUCCCAGAGCUCAACUCUGGAACUGCGUUGGAAACUAUCGGGCUUGAGUGCCGGAGAGGUUAGGGGAAUUCCAGGUGUAAGGGUGAAAUCUGUAGAUAUCUGGAGGAACACCAGUGGCGAAGGCGCCUAACUGGCCGGUUACUGACACUGAGGGACGAAAGCAAGGGGAGCAAACGGG
rnacentral:rRNA from 1 species